rnacentral:rRNA from 1 species
CCCUUAGAUGUUCUGGGCCGCACGCGCGCUACACUGACGAAGUCAGCGAGCAUGUCCUACGCCGACAGGUGCGGGGAAUCUUGUCAAACUUCGUCGUGAUGGGGAUUGAUUUUUGAAAUUCUUGAUCAUAAACGAGGAAUUCCUAGUAAGCGCAAGUCAGCAGCUUGCGUUGAUUACGUCCCUGCCCUUUGUACACACCGCCCGUCGCUACUACCGAUUGAAUGGUUUAGUGAGAUCUUCGGAUUGGCGCCACUGCAGCUCAGCAAUGGGCUUGGUGGAUGCCGAAAAGUUGAUCAAACUUGAUCAUUUAGGGGAAGUAAAAGUCGUAACA